rnacentral:rRNA from 1 species
AUUGAACGCUGGCGGCAGGCUUAACACAUGCAAGUCGAACGAUUGGCGGACGUGUGAGUAAUGCUUGUGAAUCUGGCUUAUGGAUGGGGAUAACGACGGGAAACUUUCGCUACUACCGCUUACCUUAGGCUUAGCCCUAGUGGGACUAGGUAGUUGGUGAGGUAAGGGCCUACCAAGCCGACGAUCUCUAACUGGUCUGAGAGGAUGACCAGAAACAGCGGGAAGGAGAGACGGACCGGACUCCUACGGGAGGAAGCAGUGGGGAAUAUUGCGCAAGGGGGGCAACCCUGAAGCAGCAAUGCCGCGUGAAUGAGGAAGGCCUUAGGGUUGUAAAGUUCUUUCGGUAGUGAGGCGUUAAAUAAAGAAGAAGCAAAGGCUAACUACGUGCCAGCAGCCGCGGUAAUAC